rnacentral:rRNA from 1 species
GACGAACGCUGGCGGCGUGCUUAACACAUGCAAGUCGAACGGAAAGGCCCUGCUUUUGUGGGGUGCUCGAGUGGCGAACGGGUGAGUAACACGUGAGUAACCUGCCCUUGACUUUGGGAUAACUUCAGGAAACUGGGGCUAAUACCGGAUAGGAGCUCCUGCUGCAUGGUGGGGGUUGGAAAGUUUCGGCGGUUGGGGAUGGACUCGCGGCUUAUCAGCUUGUUGGUUGGGUAGUGGCUUACCAAGGCUUUGACGGGUAGCCGGCCUGAGAGGGUGACCGGCCAAAUUGGGACUGAGAUACGGCCCAGACUCCUACGGGAGGCAGCAGUGGGGAAUAUUGCACAAUGGGCGGAAGCCUGAUGCAGCAACGCCGCGUGCGGGAUGACGGCCUUCGGGUUGUAAACAGCUUUAGCCUGUGACGAAGCGUGAGUGACGGUAAUGGGUAAAGAAGCACCGGCUAACUACGUG